UACAGAGGUCUCGAGCGUUAGGCGGAAUCACUGGGCUUAAAGCGUGUGUAGGCGGGUCGUUAAGUACCUUGUGAAAUCCCAUGGCUCAACCAUGGAACUGCUUGGUAUACUGGCGAUCUUGUGCAACCUAGGGGCGAGCGGAACAGAUGGUGGAGCGGUGAAAUGCGUAGAUAUCAUCUGGAACGCCAAUGGUGAAAACAGGUUGCUGGGGCUGUGCUGACGCUGAGACACGAAAGCCAGGGGAGCGAACGGG
rnacentral:rRNA from 1 species